ACGAACGCUGGCGGCACGCUUAACACAUGCAAGUCGAACGAGAGAAGAGAAGCUUGCUUUUCUGAUCUAGUGGCGGACGGGUGAGUAACACGUGAGCAAUCUGCCUUUCAGAGGGGGAUACCGAUUGGAAACGAUCGUUAAUACCGCAUAAUAUAAUUGAACCGCAUGAUUUGAUUAUCAAAGAUUUAUCGCUGAAAGAUGAGCUCGCGUCUGAUUAGCUAGUUGGUAAGGUAACGGCUUACCAAGGCGACGAUCAGUAGCCGGACUGAGAGGUUGAUCGGCCACAUUGGGACUGAGACACGGCCCAGACUCCUACGGGAGGCAGCAGUGGGGAAUAUUGCACAAUGGAGGAAACUCUGAUGCAGCGAUGCCGCGUGAGGGAAGAAGGUUUUAGGAUUGUAAACCUCUGUCUUCAGGGACGAAAAAAGACGGUACCUGAGGAGGAAGCUCCGGCUAACUACGUGCCAGCAGCCGCGGUAAUACGUAGGGAGCGAGCGUUGUCCGGAAUUACUGGGUGUAAAGGGAGCGUAGGCGGGAUCGCAAGUCAGAUGUGAAAACUAUGGGCUUAACCCAUAAACUGCAUUUGAAACUGUGGUUCUUGAGUGAAGUAGAGGUAAGCGGAAUUCCUAGUGUAGCGGUGAAAUGCGUAGAUAUUAGGAGGAACAUCAGUGGCGAAGGCGGCUUACUGGGCUUUAACUGACGCUGAGGCUCGAAAGCGUGGGGAGCAAACAGGAUUAGAUACCCUGGUAGUCCACGCCGUAAACGAUGAUUACUAGGUGUGGGGGGACUGACCCCUUCCGUGCCGCAGCAAACGCAAUAAGUAAUCCACCUGGGGAGUACGACCGCAAGGUUGAAACCCAAAGGAAUUGACGGGGGCCCGCACAAGCAGUGGAGUAUGUGGAUUAAUUCGAAGCAACGCGAAGAACCUUACCAGGUCUUGACAUCGUAUGCAUAGCUCAGAGAUGAGUGAAAUCUCUUCGGAGACAUAUAGACAGGUGGUGCAUGGUUGUCGUCAGCUCGUGUCGUGAGAUGUUGGGUUAAGUCCCGUAACGAGCGCAACCCUUACUGUUAGUUGCUACGCAAGAGCACUCUAGCAGGACUGCCGUUGACAAAACGGAGGAAGGUGGGGAUGACGUCAAAUCAUCAUGCCCCUUAUGACCUGGGCCUCACACGUACUACAAUGGCUGUUAACAGAGGGAUGCAAAGCCGCGAGGUGGAGCGAACCCCUAAAAGCAGUCUUAGUUCGGAUUGUAGGCUGCAACCCGCCUACAUGAAGUCGGAAUUGCUAGUAAUCGCAGAUCAGCAUGCUGCGGUGAAUACGUUCCCGGGCCUUGUACACACCGCCCGUCACGCCAUGGGAGUCGGUAACACCCGAAGCCUGUAGUCUAACCGCAAGGAGGACGCAGUCGAAGGUGGGAUUGAUGACUGGGGUG
rnacentral:rRNA from 1 species